UACUCUUGGCAAUGGAUAUCUUGGCUCUCGCAUCGAUGAAGAACGUAGCAAAAUGCGAUACUUAGUGUGAAUUGUACAAUCCCGUGAACCAUUGAGUCUUUGAACGCAAGUUGCGCCCCAAGCCUUCUGGCCGAGGGCACGUCUGCCUGAGUAUCA
rnacentral:rRNA from 1 species